GUAAUACACUGACAGCUCUGAUACCUUCUGUCAAGACGUGAGGUGGGGUUGGACCCAAACGCAGGGGAGUCGGCAGGCAUGGCAGAAACAAGGGUUUUAUUUCUCAAAAACGGGAACAGCUAGAGUACUCACACGGACAGGUAUGGUAAGGACAAGACCAAGACUGGACACAAAACAGAAACCUAAAUACACAGAACCAAACGACACACAGGUGGACACAAUAACGCUAACGAGAACAGGUGAGGGAGCUGGAGACAGAGGUGGAGUUGGAGCAGAGGAAAGGAGGUGAUUCAAUGAAAGGAGUCCGUAAAUAUGAGACGCAUCAAGGAGCUCACCUACCAGACUGAGGAGGACCGUAAGAACUUGAGCCGUCUGCAAGACCUGGUAGACAAACUGCAGCUGAAAGUCAAGUCCUACAAGAGAACUGCAGAGGAGGCUAAAGGACAUGAUGAAGAAUGAAGCUUUCAGAAGGACCUUUUAAAAUGUGUGGAUAGCAGAGCCUUAUUCUCUUCACUAUAAUCAAUGUAACUUGGCAAAAUAGAGAAUAAAGUCAGUUGAAAUCUCA